CCAUAGCCCCGAUAGGAACGGCAUCCUUUUUUGUCAUUGCGCUGAGAAAUUUCUAAAGAUUGCCUCACGUUGUUCGCAAUGGUAAAAAAGAUAUAGUGGAUAGCGGGAUUAAGC
rfam:Chryseobacterium bovis DSM 19482 genome assembly, contig: LX71DRAFT_scaffold00003.3